UACGGAAGGGUGCAAGCGUUGUUCGGAAUUACUGGGCGUAAAGGGCUCGUAGGCGGCCAACUAAGUCGGACGUGAAAUCCCCAGGCUCAACCUGGGAACUGCGUCCGAUACUGGAUGGCUUGAAUCCGGGAGAGGGAUGCAGAAUUCCAGGUGUAGCGGUGAAAUGCGUAGAUAUCUGGAGGAAUACCGGUGGCGAAGGCGGCAUCCUGGACCGGCAUUGACGCUGAGGAGCGAAAGCCAGGGGAGCAAACGGG
rnacentral:rRNA from 1 species